AUCCAUCUGAUGAGUCCCAAUUAGGAUGAAACGCGCUUUCUGAAU
rfam:Schistosoma mansoni, Puerto Rico, WGS project CABG01000000 data, contig: 0147